rnacentral:rRNA from 1 species
UACGUAGGGUGCGAGCGUUGUCCGGAAUUACUGGGCGUAAAGAGCUCGUAGGUGGUUUGUCGCGUUGUUCGUGAAAACCGGGGGCUUAACCCUCGGCGUGCGGGCGAUACGGGCAGACUUGAGUACUGCAGGGGAGACUGGAAUUCCUGGUGUAGCGGUGGAAUGCGCAGAUAUCAGGAGGAACACCGGUGGCGAAGGCGGAUCUCUGGGCCUUACCUGACGCUGAGGAGCGAAAGCAUGGGGAGCAAACAGG